UGAGUAAGCCGGAUGAUCGCGGGCUUCGGCCCGAGGAAAGUCCGAGCACCGUAGGGCAGGGUGCCGGGUAACCCCCGGUGAAGGCGACUUCAAGGAAAGUGCAACAGAGAGAUACCGCGAACCCCGUUUGGGGCCGUAAGGGUGGAAAGGUGAGGUAAGAGCUCACCAGCGGCAUGGCGACUUGUCCGUUAUGUAAACCCCACCUGGUGCAAGGUUGGUAGAGGGCAGAAUGUGGCGGCCCGUCACGCCCUGGGUAACCGCUGGAGCCAUGCGGUAACGCAUGGCCUAGAUAGAUGAUCAUUCAAGACAGAACUCGGCUUACAGGCUUGCUCAUAGG
rnacentral:RNase_P_RNA from 1 species